rnacentral:tRNA from 1 species
AGGGAUGUGGCGCAGCUUGGUAGCUCAUUUGUUUUGGGUACAAAAUGUCACGGGUUCUAAUCUUGUCAUCCCUA